rnacentral:rRNA from 1 species
UACGUAGGUGGCGAGCGUUGUCCGGAAUUACUGGGUGUAAAGCGCGUGUAGGCGGGAGGCCAAGUCUGCUGUGAAAUCGCCCGGCUCAACUGGGCGGGGUCGGUGGAAACUGGUCACCUGGAGGACGGUAGAGGCGAGUGGAAUUCCCGGUGUAGUGGUGAAAUGCGUAGAGAUCGGGAGGAACAUCAGUUGCGAAGGCGGCUCUCUGGACCAGCACUGACACUGAGGCACGAAAGCGUGGGGAGCAAACGGG